AUACUUCUCUCACCCGGAGGUCCGUGAUCAGGAAGGCGGAUUUCCCUGAGGACAUCUCUAUGAUGCGCUUCAGCGAAUUUAAAAUUUUCUUCGGGGUGCGAAAUUUUUGGUAGUCGGGAUGACCCUUUCUGGGUCGUCUCAU
rnacentral:snRNA from 11 species